UACGUAGGAGGCGAGCGUUGUCCGGAAUUACUGGGUGUAAAGCGCGCGUAGGUGGGAGGCCAAGUCUGUGGUGAAAGCGCCCGGCUCAACUGGGCGGGGUCAGCGGAUACGGUGUGGCUCGAGCAAGCUAGGGGGCAAUGGAAUUCCCGGUGUAGUGGUGGAAUGCGUAGAUAUCGGGAGGAACACCAGUGGCGAAGGCGGUUGCCUGGAGCUUUGCUGACGCUGAGGCGCGAAAGCGUGGGGAGCGAUCCGG
rnacentral:rRNA from 1 species